AAACGAUCUCACCGACUACUAGCUCGAAGCACCCACCUGUACUAAUGUCUCACCUGUCUCCAAACUGUACACGAUCGUCAACCGGACUUACGAAGGUCCACCGGGUUAGUAUCCAACCCACAAACCCAAAGUACGCAACUCACAACCCCACACAAAUCCCCGAAAUCGAUUUCCCAAAACCGAUCAUCGAAACUCGUCGAGAAUCCCGAAAAUCACACUG
rnacentral:lncRNA from 1 species